UAAUACAUGCAAGUCGAGCGAAUGGAUUAAGAGCUUGCUCUUAUGAAGUUAGCGGCGGACGAGUGAGUAACACGUGGGUAACCUGCCCAUAAGACUGGGAUAACUCCGGGAAACCGGGGCUAAUACCGGAUAACAUUUUGAACCGCAUGGUUCGAAAUUGAAAGGCGGCUUCGGCUGUCACUUAUGGAUGGACCCGCGUCGCAUUAGCUAGUUGGUGAGGUAACGGCUCACCAAGGCAACGAUGCGUAGCCGACCUGAGAGGGUGAUCGGCCACACUGGGACUGAGACACGGCCCAGACUCCUACGGGAGGCAGCAGUAGGGAAUCUUCCGCAAUGGACGAAAGUCUGACGGAGCAACGCCGCGUGAGUGAUGAAGGCUUUCGGGUCGUAAAACUCUGUUGUUAGGGAAGAACAAGUGCUAGUUGAAUAAGCUGGCACCUUGACGGUACCUAACCAGAAAGCCACGGCUAACUACGUGCCAGCAGCCGCGGUAAUACGUAGGUGGCAAGCGUUAUCCGGAAUUAUUGGGCGUAAAGCGCGCGCAGGUGGUUUCUUAAGUCUGAUGUGAAAGCCCACGGCUCAACCGUGGAGGGUCAUUGGAAACUGGGAGACUUGAGUGCAGAAGAGGAAAGUGGAAUUCCAUGUGUAGCGUUGAAAUGCGUAGAGAUAUGGAGGAACACCAGUGG
rnacentral:rRNA from 1 species